GCAAGUCGAACGGUAACAGGGAAGAGCUUGCUCUUUUGCUGACGAGUGGCGCACGGGUGCGUAACGCGUAUACAAUCUGCCUUUUACAGGGGGAUAGCCUUUAGAAAUGAAGAUUAAUAUCCCAUAGUAAGUCAUUAUGGCAUCAUAGAGACUUUAAAGCUUCGGCGGUAGAAGAUGAGUAUGCGUUCUAUUAGCUAGAUGGUGUGGUAACGGCACACCAUGGCUACGAUAGGUAGGGGUCCUGAGAGGGAGAUC
rnacentral:rRNA from 1 species